GAUCAAGCGCAUAAGGGCUUCUGACGGAUGCCUUGGCGCUGGGAGGCGAUGAAGGACGUGGCACGCUGCGAUAAGCUGUGGGGAGGCGCGAGCACCCUUUGAUCCACAGAUUUCCGAAUGGGGAAACCCGG
rnacentral:rRNA from 1 species